rnacentral:lncRNA from 1 species
UAAUCGACAUAAAAAAUGAGUAGAAAACAAAUAUAACAAACUAUACAUGUCAUCUACAAAUACAACAAACUGUACACGUCAUUAAUAAUCUUGCAGACAACUCAAGUCAAUAUGAUGAUUUAUAAAGUGCUUUCCAUGGACUCCAUGCUACCCACUGUGACUUUAGUAUCUGCUCUUCAGUACUCAAUUUGCUCUCAAUCUUCAUGGCUUCAAGUG